UUGGUGGUAUUGUAGUAGAAAAAGUUGUUCAUCAUAUUAUGAUAGUAACUAAUUAAGAGCUUUGUGUCCUUUUAGGUUUUCAUUUUUUAUGUUAUAAUUAUGAUUUAUCUGUACAUCAAGAUUUAGUGUUGUUAUUGUUUUAACUUUUGAAUUUAUAUAAAGGUUGUAAUCUCUCUUUUGAAGAGUGUUCUCCAAAUCU
rnacentral:lncRNA from 1 species